AGCGAGAUGGCGCAGCGGAAGCGUGCGGGGCUCAUAACCCCGAGGUCCCUGGAUUGAAACCAGGUCUCGCUA
rnacentral:tRNA from 1 species